rnacentral:rRNA from 1 species
UAGAGUUUGAUCAUGGCUCAGGACGAACGCUGGCGGCGUGGAUGAGGCAUGCAAGUCGAACGGUACUUCAGUGGUAGCAAUAUCAAGGAAGUGCAGUGGCGAAAGGGCGAGUAAUGCAUGGGUAACGUGCCUUCCAGAUGGGGAUAACUCGGCGAAAGCUGAGCUAAUACCGAAUGUGAUCGCCCCGGGCAUCCGGGGCUAUUCAAAGCCGGGGACCGCAAGGCCUGGCACUGGAAGAUCGGCCCAUGUCCUAUCAGCUAGUUGGUGAGGUAACGGCUCACCAAGGCUUACGGGUAGCUGGUCUGAGAGGAUGGUCAGCCGCACUGGGACUGAGACACUGCCCAGACUCCUACGGGAGGCUGCAGUCGAGAAUCAUUCGCAAUGGGCGCAAGCCUGACGAUGCGACGCCGCGUGCAGGAUGAAGGCCUUCGGGUUGUAAACUGCUGUGAUGGGGGAGCAAUGCGGGACGUGCUAACACCACGUAACGCUGAUAGUACCCCAAGAGGAAGCCACGGCUAACUCUGUGCCAGCAGCCGCGGUAAUACAGAGGUGGCAAGCGUUGUUCGGAUUUACUGGGCGUAAAGGGUGCGUAGGCGGUCCGGUGUGUCGGAUGUGAAAGCCCACGGAUCAUCCGUGGAAUGGCAUUCGAAACUGCCGGGCUGGAGUGUCGGAGAGGAUGGCGGAAUUCUCGGUGUAGCGGUGAAAUGCGUUGAGAUCGAGAGGAACGCCGGUGGCGAAGGCGGCCAUCUGGACGACAACUGACGCUGAGGCACGAAAGCUAGGGGAGCAAACAGGAUUAGAUACCCUGGUAGUCCUAGCCGUAAACGGUGCGCGUUUGCUGUAAAAGGAAUCGACCCCUUUUGUGGCGUAGCCAACGCGAUAAACGCGCCGCCUGGGAAGUACGGUCGCAAGAUUAAAACUCAAAGAAAUUGACGGGGGCCUGCACAAGCGGUGGAGUAUGUGGCUCAAUUCGAUGCAACGCGAAGAACCUUACCUGGCCUUGACAUGCAUAUAGUAGAAGGGUGAAAGCCUGACGAGGUAGCAAUACCAGUAUGCACAGGUGCUGCAUGGCUGUCGUCAGCUCGUGUCGUGAGAUGUUGGGUUAAGUCCCGCAACGAGCGCAACCCUUGCCAUUAGUUGCCACAUUCAGUUGAGCACUCUAAUGGGACUGCCGGUGACAAACCGGAGGAAGGUGGGGAUGACGUCAAGUCCUCAUGGCCCUUAUGGGUAGGGCUACACACGUCAUACAAUGGUCGGUACAGAGGGUUGCCAACCCGCGAGGGGGAGCCAAUCCCAGAAAGCCGAUCGUAGUCCGGAUUGGAGUCUGCAACUCGACUCCAUGAAGUCGGAAUCGCUAGUAAUCGCGGAUCAGCAUGUCGCGGUGAAUACGUUCCCGGGCCUUGUACACACCGCCCGUCACACCAUGGGAGUGGGGUUCACCAGAAGCAGGUUGCCUAACCGCAAGGAGGGCGCCUACCACGGUGAGCUUCAUGACUGGGGUGAAGUCGUAACAAGGUAACCGUAA